rnacentral:lncRNA from 1 species
UCUCACUCAUGAUCUCUAGUGACUGCUAUUCAGAGGUAUAUGUGAUAUAGAAUCAUAGAACUGUAGAGUUAGGAGGGAUCCAAAGGUCAUCUAGUCCAAAGGGUCAUUAUGUUGGGUUGCGUCCAGGGAGACGGGGGCAAUUGGCAGGCCCCCAGCUGGCUCCAGGCCACCGGCCGGCAGCCGGGCGAACUCCAGUUCUCGGAAUAGCAUCAAAACUGUGACUCAAUCCUCAGAGACCUUUAGAGACUGAGCACGCAAGCCAGCAGAGAUAAGAACUCUUUGCAACGGAAGUAGCGGACAGAGGCAUAUGUAAGCAUAUUUACAAGCAUUUAUUCAGCAUCAGGACAAAGGAAAAAAACUUGUAUGCUUCCCUUCGUGUCCAAGCAAACAGCAUAGGCAAAAGCUAUAUACAACGGAAGUUCCCAGCAGACUGUGCUGGAAGAAAACAGACAUGUGACAUGCAACAACUCCACAUGCCUGUUCUAAAGGUGGAACGGAACUAUAUCCUAACAAUCUAGUCCUCUGCAAUGCAAGAAUCACAGGUAAUGCUGCCUCACUGUGCAGCAGCUGGAGCUCCUGACCCAAGGGCAGUCCCCCAUAGGGAGCACUGUAGUAAUCCAGCCUCAGUUUUAUCAAUCCAUGCACUGCAGUGCUCAGGCUACUAGGGUGAAGCAUGCACACAAAUGCAUAUAUUAGUGAAAAUCAUAUUUAAGGAAUGCAUCGUAUUAGGGAAAAUUGCUUUGCAAAAUUGUGUUUAUUAGGGGAAAUUCAAACUUAAAUGCCAAUGAAUUUUAAUGAGGAUUUUUUUUCUUUUUUUAAAAAAAAAUCAAACUGCAUUGCGGGGUGUUGGACUAGAUGGCACUCAAAGUCCCUACAGUUCUAUGAGUCUAAGAUAUGGAAAUGUGGAGAUGGGGAGUAUAAAUGGAGAAAAUGAAAAAAGUGAAGGGGUGUUCAGAUGUUAAUAUGCAACGAGUGUACAAUUUGCAUACCUGUGGAGACAAAUAGUUGAGCCGUACACUUGUGCAGUCAUUCACGGGUAAUGUUCAAUCAGUGUAUUGCCGAUGUACCUAUGUAUACAGUCGUUGAGCCCUAUGAGUGAACACGUGUAUUCUCUUUCACAAAAACAUCUGUACAUGUGGAGAGACAGCUUGUUCACUGUGGAGAGGAACUGAAAUUGACAGACUCACCCAUCCCUAAUUAUAAGGAAAUGGGACCAGAGAACUACAACUGUUUGCUUGAGGUUUUUAACACCAUGCAACAACAGGUUUCUGUCCCACCUUUUAUUUUUCUGCACAUCUAUAGCUUGUGCAGUUUCAUUAAAGCUUUAUAAAGCUUCAUCACCAGGUCCGUUGGCCCCAGUUAAGAGUCCUUGCAUCACAUCUUCACAAAACCUGCCCUUAUUAGUAUAUAGAUUUGCUAUCGCUAGAGAAAUACCGGUAAAUAUUUUGAGGUGACCUUAAGGUGUGAACCUUCUCAAAGCAUCAAUUUAAAAGCCAAAACAAAUUUAUAUAAUGCAGAAAAGCAACCUAACAUUAAUCAAGGGCACCACGGAUACAAGUAAACAAGAGAAUUAAAUAAAUAAGACCAGCCUUGGAGAUUACUUGUUACUAAGUUGAGAGAUGGUGGAUAUGUGCUGCAGUUGCCAAAAUACCACAAAACACACUGCCUAACAUCCUCUGGUCUCCUCCUACAAGGUUCCUGGUACAGUGGUACCUUGGGUUAAGUACUUAAUUCAUUCCGGAGGGCUGUACUUAACCUGAAACUGUUCUUAACCUGAAGCACCACUUUAGCUAUUGGGGCCUCCUGCUGCUGCUGUGCUGCCGGAGCACAAUUUCUGUUCUCAUCCUGACCUGAAGCAAAGUUCUUAACCUGAAGCAAUAUUUCUGGGUUAACGGAAUCUGUAACCUGAAGCGUAUGUAACCUGAAGCGUAUGUAACCCGAGGUACCACUGUAUUUGCAUUUUGGUGCCCAUUACUUGGCUAGAGAAUCAGACUGCAAAAUUCAGAGAAGUGCAAAUUUUCAAGGAUUGGGUGGUUUCAGUUCUCAGAUUGUUUCAGAAAGUGUGUAUUAGAUAAGUUCAUCAUUCAUUUUGGAAUGAAUCAAAUUCUCUCAACCCACCUCCCUGGCAUCCCUAGGGGGCACAUUGUUAUGGCAGCCUCCACAUGUGACAUGGCAACCAACAAAAGGAGAAACUACCCUGUUAUCCAUUUCCCCAGAUGAUCUAACUGAUCGUAUUUCUGGCAAGCUGGCCCUAAGUUGUUCGGAGCUUUAUAUCAUGAGUGUUGCCUUGUACCCAAUCAACAACCAGGGCAGCUCCCUUGGCAUAGGUGUUGAGAUAGGUGCAUCCUCACCCUUUGAAGUACAUUGGUUGGGAAGGCAGAUCAUGCUUUUAACAAGCCUUUGUGCCAGAUUAAUGGAUCAUUAUUCCUUCUCAUCCGUUGGCUGUUCCAUUUUGUGUUCUUGUUGCUUAGUUAGUUUCCACUGAUGGGACUUUCAAGAUCCUUAUCGAGAGUCACGUUUAUGGCCAUCUGACGGUAAAGAAUUUUUAAUUGAAAAAAUUAUUUUCACUUUGGGCCUAGGAAAUGAAGAACUAGCACACAUCACUCAGAAUCAAGGUGUUUGUGUUUUUUAAGCAUUAAAAAAAGAAAUGUAAGAGAAGUCUGGAGAAUUGCAUUAAACGGAAGAGAGCGGUCUCAUUCAGCAGUGAGUCAGAAGCGAAUCAUCCAACCUUGAACCUCCCUUCAGCCAUCCCAGUAUUGUUGCUGAUGCUGCGGUGACUCUGUUUCAUGGACGCAUCUACCUGAUAAAAUGACUCGCACAUAUGGUGAGUGACUCACCGCAAGG